rnacentral:lncRNA from 1 species
GACCAGCUCUGUUCACAGAGGGAUAAUUAAAGCUCUCAGGAAUCCAACCAGUGGUCAAAAGGACAAGGACAAACUCAUAUUUCUCAAUGCCAUUCUGGGCAGCUGUGAGCACCUGUCCUUUUGCUGGAAUUUAACCCAGUGGAAUUAGCGUUGCCAUCACCCACGUCUUUAUGGGUUCAGCUGGAACUUAGCAGUCCAUGAGCAGUCCAGCUAGCAUCUAGCUCACCAAUCACAAGCACCAACUGUGCCACUAACUUAGCACUCCUUGGGAAGGCGAGAUUCAGCAAAAAUAAACUCUAACUCGCUUUCUUACUGACUGAGGAAAAGUCUAAAAUUCUAGAAAUUUUAUAAUCCCACAUGGAGGUAUGGUGAUUUCUUUAUUGAAAAAAAACACACAUGGCAAUGUAUUUUCUGACACUGUUGCAAUUCAUGAGUUCUGCAGAGUAAAUUUUGUUACU